GACGAACGCUGGCGGCGUGCCUAAUACAUGCAAGUUGAGCGCUGAAGGUUGGUACUUGUACCAACUGGAUGAGCAGCGAACGGGUGAGUAACGCGUGGGGAAUCUGCCUUUGAGCGGGGGACAACAUUUGGAAACGAAUGCUAAUACCGCAUAAAAACUUUAAACACAAGUUUUAAGUUUGAAAGAUGCAAUUGCAUCACUCAAAGAUGAUCCCGCGUUGUAUUAGCUAGUUGGUGAGGUAAAGGCUCACCAAGGCGAUGAUACAUAGCCGACCUGAGAGGGUGAUCGGCCACAUUGGGACUGAGACACGGCCCAAACUCCUACGGGAGGCAGCAGUAGGGAAUCUUCGGCAAUGGACGAGAGUCUGACCGAGCAACGCCGCGUGAGUGAAGAAGGUUGUCGGAUCGUAAAACUCUGUUGGUAGAGAAGAACGUUGGUGAGAGUGGAAAGCUCAUCAAGUGACGGUAACUACCCAGAAAGGGACGGCUAACUACGUG
rnacentral:rRNA from 1 species